GGUUUCAGAUAUGUUGCAAAUACAAAAUUUCACCCCUUUGAAGAUAAGGCAAAGUCCAUGUUAUGCAACAGAAAACCAACCAAAAAGUCAUUUGACAUUGGAAUGUUAUUAGGAUUCUUAGAAGUUACAUUGAUAUCACUGGCUACGAUAUGUGAAUGUUUAGAAACAACACAAAUUCAAAUUGUGAUCAAAGUAAACCCUUAACUUCA
rnacentral:lncRNA from 1 species